AAGGGUAUAGCUCAAGUGGUAGAGUGCAUGCUUAGCAUGCAUGAGGUCCUGGGUUCAAUCCCUAGUACCUCCU
rfam:Camelus ferus unplaced genomic scaffold scaffold726, whole genome shotgun sequence.